UGGCGGCAGGCCUAACACAUGCAAGUCGAGCGGAUGACGGGAGCUUGCUCCUUGAUUCAGCGGCGGACGGGUGAGUAAUGCCUAGGAAUCUGCCUGGUAGUGGGGGACAACGUUUCGAAAGGAACGCUAAUACCGCAUACGUCCUACGGGAGAAAGCAGGGGACCUUCGGGCCUUGCGCUAUCAGAUGAGCCUAGGUCGGAUUAGCUUGUUGGUGAGGUAAUGGCUCACCAAGGCGACGAUCCGUAACUGGUCUGAGAGGAUGAUCAGUCACACUGGAACUGAGACACGGUCCAGACUCCUACGGGAGGCAGCAGUGGGGAAUAUUGGACAAUGGGCGAAAGCCUGAUCCAGCCAUGCCGCGUGUGUGAAGAAGGUCUUCGGAUUGUAAAGCACUUUAAGUUGGGAGGAAGGGUUGUAGAUUAAUACUCUGCAAUUUUGACGUUACCGACAGAAUAAGCACCGGCUAACUCUGUGCCAGCAGCCGCGGUAAUACAGAGGGUGCAAGCGUUAAUCGGAAUUACUGGGCGUAAAGCGCGCGUAGGUGGUUUGUUAAGUUGGAUGUGAAAGCCCCGGGCUCAACCUGGGAACUGCAUCCAAAACUGGCAAGCUAGAGUACGGUAGAGGGUGGUGGAAUUUCCUGUGUAGCGGUGAAAUGCGUAGAUAUAGGAAGGAACACCAGUGGCGAAGGCGACCACCUGGACUGAUACUGACACUGAGGUGCGAAAGCGUGGGGAGCAAACAGGAUUAGAUACCCUGGUAGUCCACGCCGUAAACGAUGUCAACUAGCCGUUGGAAUCCUUGAGAUUUUAGUGGCGCAGCUAACGCAUUAAGUGACCGCCUGGGAUACGC
rnacentral:rRNA from 1 species